rnacentral:tRNA from 1 species
GGGGGUAUAGCUCAGUGGUAGAGCGCGGUUUAGCAUGCACGAGGCUCUGGGUUCAAUCCCAGCCCCUCCA